ACACACGCACUCUACACACACACUCUACACACGCACUCUACACACACACUCUACACACACACUCUACACACUCACUCUAUACACACACUCUACACACACACACACACACACACUCUACAAACACACUCUACACACACACUCUACACACACACUCUACACACACACACUACACACACACACUCUACACACGCACUCUACACACACACACUCUACAAACACACACACACACUUUACACACGCACUCUACACACACACUCUACACACACACUAUACACACACACUCUACACACACACUAUACACACACACUGUACACACACACUAUACACACACACUGUACACACACACUCUACACACACACACUCUACACUCUACACACACUCUACACACACUCUACACACACACUCUACACACACAUACAUUGUAAUAUUCUAUUAUUGUACAUUUUGUGAUGGAAUUGUUUCAUACCUGUUUGCACCCCAGGAAGAGUAGCUGCUGCCUUGGUAGGAACUAAUGGGGAUCCUAUUAAAUACUAAAUACGCUCCUCUCCUUCUCCCAAACCCACCAUCCCUUGGAUCAAGCACUCUUCCCUGAGCUCCACAUCUAAUAAUGGCACCAUCAUUCCUCACUCUAAUUCUUUUGGCAGGGCCUGUCAAACAGCAUAUGCUGGAGGACACUGUGACUUUGAAAUGCUGCUAAUGACCCAAGGAUAUUUUCCCCUCGCUCGCUGGUGAUUAGAGAGAGAGAGGACCGAGGGAGGGAGGAGAGAAAAAGAGAGAAGGGUGCGAGAGAAAAGGAAUAAGAGACAGAGAUAUAAAGAGUGAGAGGGAGAGAGAAAAAGAGAGGGAGAUAUAAAGAGAGGGAGAGAGAUAAAGAGAGGAAGAGAUAUAUAAGGAGAGGGAGAGAGAUACAAAGAGAGAGAGAGAGAGAUAAAGAGAGGGAGAGAGAUAUAAGGAGAGAGAGAGAGAGAGAUAAAGAGAGGGAGAGAGAGAUAAAGAGAGGGAGAGAGAUAUAAGGAGAGGGAGAUAUAAAGAGAGGGAGAGAGAUAUAAAGAGGGAGAUGUAAAGAGAGGGAGAGAGAUAUAAAGCGAGGGAGAUGUAAAGACUGGGAGAGAGAUAUAAGGAGAGGGAGAGAGAUAUAAAGAGAGGGAGAGAGAUAUAAAGAGAGGGAGAGAGAUAUAAAGAGAGGGAGAGAGAUAAAGAGAGAGAGAGAGAUAUAAAGAGAGGGAGAGAGAUAUAAAGAGAGGGAGAGAGAUAUAAAGAGAGAGAGAUAUAAAAAGGGAGAGAGAUAUAAAGAGAGAGAGAGAGAUAUAAAGAGAGGGAGAGAGAUAUAAAGAGAGGGAGAGAGAUAUAAAGAGAGGGAGAUGUAAAGAGAGGGAGAGAGAGAUAAAGAGAGGGAGAGAGAGAUAAAGAGAGGGAGAUAUAAAGAGAGGGAGAUAGAUAUAAAGAGAGGGAGAUGUAAAGAGAGGGAGAGAGAUAUAAGGAGAGGGAGAGAGAUAUAAAGAGAGGGAGAGAGAAACAAAGAGUGGGAGAGAGAGAUAAAGAGAGGGAGAGAGAUAUAAGGAGAGGGACAGAUAUAUAAAGAGAGGGAGAUAUAAAGAGAGGGAGAGAGAGAUAAAGAGAGGGAGAGAGAGAUAAAGAGAUGGAGAUAUAAAGAGAGGGAGAGAGAGAUAAAGAGAGGGAGAUAUAAAGAGAGGGAGAGAGAGAUAAAGAGAGGGAGAUAUAAAGAGAGGGAGAUAAAGAGAAGGAGAGAGAUAUAAAGGGAGGGAGAGAGAUGAAGAGAGGGAGAUAUAAAGAGAGUGAUAGAGAUAUAAAGAGAGGGAGGGAGAUAUAAAGGGAGGGAGAGAGAUGAAGAGAGGGAGAUAUAAAGAGAGGGAGAGAGAUGAAGAGAGGGAGAGAGAUAUAAAGAGAGGGGGAUAAAAAGAGAGGGAUAGAGAUAUAAAGAGAGGGAGGGAGAUAUAAAGAGAGGGAGAGAGAUGAAGAGUUGGAGAGAGAUAUAAAGAGAGGGAUAGAGAUAUAAAGAGAGGGAGAGAGAUGAAGAGAGGGAGAGAGAUAUAAAGAGAGAGAGACAUAAAGAGAGGGAGAUAUAAAGAGAGGGAUAGAGAUAUAAAGAGAGGGAGAGAGAUAUGAAGAGAGGGAGAGAGAGUUAAAGAGAGAGAGAUAUAUAAAGAGAGGGGGAUAUAAAGAGAGGGAGAGAGAUAUGAAGAGAGGGAGAGGGAUAUAAAAAGAGGGAGGGAGAUAUAAAGAGAGGGAGAGAGAUAUGAAGAGAGGGAGAGAGAUGAAGAGAGGGAGAGAGAUAUAAAGAGAGGGAGAGAGAUAUAAAGAGUGGGAGAGAGACAUAAAAAGAGGGAGAGAGAUAUAAGGAGAGGGACAGAGAUAUAAAGAGAGGGAGAGAAAGAUAAAGAGAGGGAGAGAGAUAUAAAGAGAGGGAGAGAGAUAUAAGGAGAGGGAGAGAGAUAUAAAGAGAGGGAGAGAGAUAUAAAGAGUGGGAGAGAGACAUAAAAAGAGGGAGAGAGAUAUAAGGAGAGGGACAGAGAUAUAAAGAGAGGGAGAGAAAGAUAAAGAGAGGGAGAGAGAUAUAAAGAGAGGGAGAGAGAGAUAAAGAGAUGGAGAUUUAAAGAGAGGGAGAGAGAGAUAAAGAGAGGGAGAUAUAAAGAGAGGGAGAGAGAGAUAAAGAGAGGGAGAUAUAAAGAGAGGGAGAUAAAGAGAAGGAGAGAGAUAUAAAGAGAGGGAGAGAGAUGAAGAGAGGGAGAUAUAAAGAGAGGGAGAGAAAGAUAAAGAGAGGGAGAGAGAUAUAAAGAGAUGGAGAGAGAGAUAAAGAGAGGGAGAUAUAAAGAGAGGGAGAGAGAGAUAAAGAGAGGGAGAUAUAAAGAGAGGGAGAGCGAGAUAAAGAGAGGGAGAUAUAAAGAGAGGGAGAUAUAAAGAGAAGGAGAGAGAGAUAAAGAGAGGGAGCUAUAAAGAGAGGGAGAUAAAGAGAAGGAGAGAGAUAUAAAGAGAGGGAGGGAGAUAUAAAGAGAGGGAGAGAGAUGAAGAGAGGGAGAUAAUAAGAGAGGGAUAGAGAUAUAAAGAGAGGGAGAGAGAUAUGAAGAGAGUGAGAGAGAUAUAAAGAGAGGGGGAGAGAUAUAAAGAGAGGGAGAUGUAAAGAGAGGGAGAGAGAUAUAAGGAGUGGGAGAGAGAGAUAAAGAGAGGGAGAGAGAUAUAAGGAGAGGGACAGAGACAUAAAGAGAGGGAGAGAGAUGAAGAGAGGGAGAUAAUAAGAGCGGGAUAGAGAUAUAAAGAAAGGGAGAGAGAUAUGAAGAGAGUGAGAGAGAUAUAAAGAGAGGGGGAGAGAUAUAAAGAGAGAGAGAGAUAUAAAGAGAGGGGGAUAUAAAGAGAGGGAGAGAGAUAUGUAGAGAGGGAGAGAGCGAUAAAGAGAGAGAGAGAUAUAUAAAGAGAGGGGGAUAUAAAGAGAGGGAGAGAGAUUUAAAGAGAGAGAGAGAUAUAAAGAGAGGGGGAUAUAAAGAGAGGGAGAGAGAUAUGAAGAGAGGGAGAGGGAUAUAAAAAGAGGGAGGGAGAUAUAGAGGGAGAGAGAUAUGAAGAGAGGGAGAGAGAUGAAGAGAGGGAGAGAGAUAUAAAGAGAGGGAGAGAUAUAAAGAGUGGGAGAGAGAGAUAAAGAGAGGGUGAGAGAUAUAAGGAGAGGGACAGAGAUAUAAAGAGAGGGAGAGAGAUAUAAAGAGAGGGAGAUGUAAAGAGAGGGAGAGAGAUAUAAGGAGAGGGAGAGAGAUAUAAAGAGAGGGAGAGAGAUAUAAAGAGUGGGAGAGAGAGAUAAAGAGAGGGAGAGAGAUAUAAGGAGAGGGACAGAGAGAUAAAGAGAGGGAGAGAGAUAUAAGGAGAGGGACAGAGACAUAAAGAGAGGGAGAGAGAUGAAGAGAGGGAGAUAAUAAGAGCGGGAUAGAGAUAUAAAGAGAGGGAGAGAGAUAUGAAGAGAGAGAGAGAUAUAAAGAGAGGGGGAGAGAUAUAAAGAGAGGGAGAGAAAGAUAAAGAGAGGGA
ensembl:lncRNA